rnacentral:rRNA from 1 species
CCUACGGGGGGCAGCAGUGGGGAAUAUUGGACAAUGGGGGGAACCCUGAUCCAGCCAUGCCGCGUGUGUGAAGAAGGCCCUCGGGUUGUAAAGCACUUUCAGUGAGGAAGAACGCCUGGUGGUUAAUACCCAACAGGAAAGACAUCACUCACAGAAGAAGCACCGGCUAACUCCGUGCCAGCAGCCGCGGUAAUACGGAGGGUGCGAGCGUUAAUCGGAAUUACUGGGCGUAAAGCGCGCGUAGGUGGCUUGAUAAGCCGGUUGUGAAAGCCCCGGGCUCAACCUGGGAACGGCAUCCGGAACUGUCAAGCUAGAGUGCAGGAGAGGAAGGUAGAAUUCCCGGUGUAGCGGUGAAAUGCGUAGAGAUCGGGAGGAAUACCAGUGGCGAAGGCGGCCUUCUGGACUGACACUGACACUGAGGUGCGAAAGCGUGGGUAGCAAACAGGAUUAGAUACCCUGGUAGUC